UACGUAGGGGGCUAGCGUUGCUCGGAAUUACUGGGCGUAAAGCGCGCGUAGGCGGAUUGCUAAGUCAGGUGUGAAAUCCUGGAGCUCAACUCCAGAACUGCCUUUGAUACUGGCGAUCUUGAGUUCGGGAGAGGUGAGUGGAACUCCGGGUGUAGAGGUGAAAUUCGUAGAUAUUCGGAAGAACACCAGUGGCGAAGGCGACUCGCUGGCCCGAUACUGACGCUGAGGCGCGAAAGCGUGGGGAGCAAACAGG
rnacentral:rRNA from 1 species